CGGGUACUGCUCGGUGCGAGCCUCAGCAUUAUCCCUGAGCCGAUUCAGAAUCCUAGGGGGCUGUCCCUGGCCGGGCCCUGGCCCGAUCCACAUGGUCCCCACCUGACGUUUGGGCGUCAGAGGAUAUUCCUGGCAAACGGCCAUAGCGGUCCCGUC
rnacentral:other from 2 species